rnacentral:lncRNA from 1 species
AUUGAUUUGAAGGAGAAGGAAAUACCAGAAUUAAGAAACAAACUGCAGAAUGUCAAUAGAGACAUACAGCGCCUAAAGAACGACAUAGAAGAACAAGAAACACUCUUGGGUACAAUAAUGCCUGAAGAAGAAAGUGCCAAAGUAUGCCUGACAGAUGUUACAAUUAUGGAGAGGUUCCAGUUUCUAGUAAGAUUGAAUUGAAUCGUAAGCUUAUACAGGACCAGCAGGAACAGAUUCAACAUCUAAAAAGUACAACAAAUGAGCUAAAAUCUGAGAAACUUCAGAUAUCCACUAAUUUGCAACGUCGUCAGCAACUGGAGGAGCAGACUGUGGAAUUAUCCACUGAAGUUCAGUCUUUGUACAGAGAGAUAAAGGUAAGAAUAUCCAUACAUGUUUUUUGUAA